GCGGGUAUGGUUUAAUGGUAAAAUUCCUCCUUGCCAAGG
rnacentral:tRNA from 1 species